ACAGCUCAGUGGUAGAGCAUCUGCUUUGCAUGCAGAAGGUGCCAGGUUCAAGCUAUCUACAGGUGGGUCUGGCCUGAAACU